rnacentral:rRNA from 1 species
GACGAACGCUGGCGGCGCGCCUAACACAUGCAAGUCGAACGAUCGAGGGAGAGCUUGCUUUCUCGAGCGAGUGGCGAACGGGUGAGUAACGCGUGAGGAACCUGCCGCAAAGAGGGGGACAACAGUUGGAAACGACUGCUAAUACCGCAUAAGCCCACGGCUCGGCAUCGAGCAGGGGGAAAAGGAGCAAUCCGCUUUGGGAUGGCCGCGCUUCCGAUUAGCUAGUUGGUGAGGGAACGGCCCACCAAAGCGACGAUCGGUAGCCGGGGUGAGAGGUUGAACGGAGACAUUGGCGCUGGGACACGGCCCAGACUCCUACGGGAGGCAGGAGUGGGGAAUAUUGCAAAAUGGGGGAAGCCAUGAUGCAGCGACGCCGGGUGGAGGAAGAAGGUCUGCGGAUUGUAAACUCCUGUUGUUGGGGAAGAUAAUGACGGUACCUAAAAAGGAAGUGACGGCUAACUACGUG